AACCACACACUACCUCUCAAUCCCCACUCAGCCAACCACCGAGACCACAACCACCUCCUCCCACCUCAGGAUCCUCCCAGAUCACCAUCGUCAAACCCACACACCUCGCCGAUCUCCGCUGCUCUUCGCUUCCCAACCGGUGCCAACCACCGAGACCAUAGCCAGACCUCUCCUGCUCCUUUCCUUCUCCUUCCCUGCCUCUACUCCCUCCUCUCACAUCUCUCUCUUUCUCUCUGUACAGCUGCAACAGGGAGCACGCCAGGCGCCAUGGCCGCCGAAGGAACUCCGCCGCCUCACCGAAUCCACGCCUCCAUCUCUCCCCUGCAUCAAGGUCGCCAUCCCUGCUGGACCUGCAGGACGCCAAGUCCAACACCAUGGGCACCUGCUCUGCCCGAUCCCGCCUCUGUCUCGACUUCGCCGUGCUCCUCCUCUGCCCCGAGCCUCUGCCGUGACCAGCACCGGAGCAGCAGGGCCGCCAGCGCGCCCGUUGCCUCCUCCUCGCGCGCCUGCCGCCCUCGCCUUCUCUCUUCUUCCCCUUUUUCGUUCGGCUUCUUUGAUUAAAUCUCUCUCUCUCUCCCUGUCCUUGCCUCGAACAGGAGCACCAGCCGGCGCAACCAUCAUCGGAGAUGGGCUCCCGCAGGCCGAAUCCGACGCGGCCCGUGUCCUCGCCCUCGUCCCCGCCUCCAGGGUGCCGCACCGCCCACAGGAGACCACCUGCGUUGUCCGCCAAGUCCCUGCCGCCCCUGCAUCCCCUGCAAUGAGCUGGAGCUCGCCCGAUGCCACCUCGCCUCCCUGACCCGAUUGGACACCAGAUCCGGCCAUCUCCGACGCAUACCCGCCGGUUCCCGUCGCCAGAACCUCCCCGGCGCCUGUGUCGCCCUGAACCUGUCGCUACAGUUUUCCUUCAGAACGAGAAGAGCAACUCACCGCCCCGCUCGACUGGAUUGACCGCACCUCCAUGCGCCUGGGAUGCCUCCUCUUUGUUCGUUGACCGAGGCCCAGUCCCCACCUCCAUACAUCUAGGCCUUUGGCCCAUGGUGAGCAGCACCCGAGCCCCUGUGCAAUGUUGGGUCGUCCUCUGUUUCGGCCCAUAGGUUUUUUUUUCUUUGUGCGAUUUUAUCAUUUUCGAGAGAUUGUGGUUUUUACAGAAAAGCCCCUGUUCUUCAUGCAUUUAAUAACUUCACAACCGUGCAUCGGAU
rnacentral:lncRNA from 1 species